rnacentral:miRNA from 1 species
GAGAGAGAAAGGAGAAAU